GUCCACGAGUUGUGAUUUUUUGGAUAAAUAACGUAAGAUAUUUUUUGUAUAAGGUAUCUCAAGAAACUUCAUUGUCAAUAAACAAGGGUUAGCUAAUAUUAUCUUGGAGUAAAUGAGUUGUGAUUUAAUGAAGAAACAAAAGUAUUUUUUGGAACAAUAUGAUUAUCUAAUGUUAUCAUGAAGUCAACGAGUUGUGAUUUAUUGAAUAAACAAUAGAGUAAAGUAGAAGUUGCAUAUUCACAAGGUUUUUUUAAAUAUUUUUCUUUUGAAUUAUAUUUCUAAAAGUA